ensembl:lncRNA
GUUAGACUCCAGUGUUAUAACGCUACAGAUACUUGGCUCAUCAAAAUUUUUGUAAAUGGGGUUUUGAAUCUACUAAAAAAAAAUCAUUUUCUUUUAUGAAUAAUUCUUUGCUGAAAAAUAAAUCCUACUAUCUCUCAACUAAACAACUCAGGUAUCAAAUGUUACCAACCUAAUAAAACCAAAAACAGGUUUUCAGAGCUAUUAGUAAUGCUUUAAUAAUCAUAAUUAAGUAACUGUAAAUAGUUAAUUAAACUUUAGUUAACUGUUACUUCAUUGCUAACAAAUAUUGAGAUGGCCAGAUGUAACGUUUUCUAAUCAUUGUGGAUAAUAUCCUUUGUGGUGCAGUGUUACAAGUUUCUGUAAUAUAAAAUGAUAAGUGUAUUGUAUAAUUUCAAUUCAUAGCUUACAGCCGAUAAGAACUGUACCAUGCUGUAUGCAUACUUCAUAUUGUAUCUACACUAUUAUUUUUUUCAUGAUUAAUGAUCCUAUCUACACUUCCAGAGUGGCAUAUAUCGCCAGUUUGUCAAAUAUGCUGGAGUCUCAGAAUUUCAUACAAACUGACCAAAACCUGCCACAAAAAGAAAGAAAGAAAGAAGGAAAGAAAGAAAGAAAGAAAGAAAGAAAGAAAGAAAGAAAGAAAGAAAGAAAGAAACCCUUAUCACUGUCUCCAGAUUUGAAUUUAAUCACCACCUGCCUACUGAACUUAAAGGUAUUAAAAACAUCAGAUGCAACCUUACAAUAACCAUGCAGAUAAUGUUCAUAAAUCCUUGUUUUAUUAUAAACCACUUAUUAGUAUCAAAUUAGUUCAUUCUUCAUUCUUUUACAGUAAUCAAAUGCUGCAACAGAGGUCUGUGAACCCUUGCCAGAAAUUCUGCUUUAAUUACUUAUUAAAUGUAGUCUAGUCUUCAUCUUGUUGACAGUUAUAGACAAAUACAGUCUAACACACACAAAGCAUGCUUGUACUUUCAUACUUCUGUUGAGCACACUCAGUAAUCAUUUGCAUUCCAGGCUGGAAAUAGUAAGCGAACUUGCGUGCUAAUGAAUUCUUCGGAUGUUACUGUACUUAGUCGGGUGUGAUCUUAAAGAAUGUUGGAUGUCAAAUUUUCACUAUAGAGAUCCCGUCCUACAGUUUGAGGAAUUUAAGGAUUGUUACUUUUCUUCCUACAAGUGGUUGCCCUUU